GAUGAACGCUGGCGGCGUGCCUAAUACAUGCAAGUCGAGCGAACAGACGAGGAGCUUGCUCCUCUGACGUUAGCGGCGGACGGGUGAGUAACACGUGGAUAACCUACCUAUAAGACUGGGAUAACUUCGGGAAACCGGAGCUAAUACCGGAUAAUAUAUUGAACCGCAUGGUUCAAUAGUGAAAGACGGUUUUGCUGUCACUUAUAGAUGGAUCCGCGCCGCAUUAGCUAGUUGGUAAGGUAACGGCUUACCAAGGCGACGAUGCGUAGCCGACCUGAGAGGGUGAUCGGCCACACGGGAACUGAGACACGGUCCAGACUCCUACGGGAGGAGGCAGUGGGGAAUCUUCCGCAAGGGGGGAAAGCCGGACGGAGCAACGCCGAGGGAGUGAUGAAGGUCUUGGGAUCGUAAAACUCUUUUAUUGGGGAAGAAAAAAUGUGUAAGUAACUAUGCACUUCUUGACGGUACCUAAUAAGAAAGCCCCGGCAAACUACGUG
rnacentral:rRNA from 1 species